CGUGUGUUGAUAUCUACACCCAUUUCAUCAUACAUGCCGACAUGAAGAAUUAUCAUCAGAAACUCAAAAAUAUUGUAAAUAAAUUAUCAGGACAUCUAUUUUUCUUUAAGAACCACAAAUAGAAAAUUAACAGUAACACAACUUGUAUGCAAAAUCAAUAAUAAUAAUUCUUGUUUAAAAAAUUUAACUUUCAUUUUUUUUAAAGUAAAGACAAUUUGCUUCCAAUCCUCACGUAAAAGUUAACUUUCAUUUUUUUUUUUUUUAUUUGAACAAUUUUGCCUUCUUCAUUUUAAAUAGAGGGAAGCUACAUAAAAGAAUAAUUCAGUAUGCAAAAACUAGUGUUCCAAAAUUUGGAUGACCAUCCAAUACACAAUCAAUAAACUUGAAAAAUAACUCAUGCCACCUAAAAUCUUUAGAAUCCAGAUACUUACACCACUUUCGGGGAGGUACAUAGGUGAAGCAUUUGCCAAAAAGUAUAUUCAAUGUCCAUUUGUUGCCA
rnacentral:lncRNA from 1 species